ensembl:lincRNA
GAUUCAUAUUCUAGUACUGCCUCAUUUCCAAUGAAGGAAGCUAGAUGGUGCCUGGAAGAAGCAGAAUGCCAAGUAUGUUUACAUGGCUCUGCCCCUCAUUUCCUUCUGGGCUUACUGCUGAACCUGGUGAACCUCAGGCCAGGAAGAAACCUUCCCAACCUGGAAGACAAGCCAGUAGCGAAAUCAGCAUCAGUAUCCAAAGGAAAAUUCCAAGUGGGGAACACGAAGUUAUCUUUCAACAAAGACACAGAGAAGAGCCAUAAUGGAAGAUGCAAAGGAUACAUGAAGUUUGAUGACCUUGGAAGCCAUGUGUGGAGCCAUAACAUUGAAGGAUCCUUGGUUCCUCUAUCACACUUUUGGAGAGGUACAGGACGGUCAAUAAACACGGUUGGCUAAGGAAGAGAAUUAUCUCUAACAUGAAAAUUUCAAAAUGCUUAUGAAAAUUUAAAGAGGACACAAAAAAUAGAAAGAUAUCCCAUGUUAAUGAAUUGGAAUAAUUAUUGCUAAAAUGUCCUUACUACCCAAAGCAAUCUACAGAUUCGAUGUGAUACACAUAAUAUUCUAAUUGCAGCCUCCACAAAGAUAGAAAAAACAAACCUAAAAUGGAACCACAAAAUACCCCAAAUAGUUAAAGGAAUCUUCAUCAAAAUGAACAAAGCUGUAGGUAUUACAAUAUCUGAUGUCAGAACAUACUACAAAAUUAAAAUAACCAAAAUAACAUGAUACUGGCAUAAAAAGAGACACGUAGAUCAAUGAAAAAUAAAAGAGAACCCAGAAAUGAAUCCACAUGUCCACAGCCAAAUGAUCUUUGACAAAGGUGGAAAUUGGAUAAAGGACACUCGAUUUAAUAAAUGGUGCCAGGAAACAGGACACCCAUAUGUAAAAGAGCAAAACUAGACUCAUAUCUCUCACCAUACAUGAAAAUAAAUUUAAAAUGGAUCAAAGACCAAAAUGUAAAACAUGAUACUACAAGAAGAACAACAGGGAAAACACUUCAAGGCAUCUAUGCAAACAAUGAUUUCUGGAUAAGACCCCAAAGUUUCAGCAAGAAAAGCAAAAAUGUACAAAUAAGAUUAUGUCAAAUGAAGAAGCUUCUUCAUAGCAAAGGAAAUAAUCAACAGAGUUUAAAAAAAAUAGCCUACAAAAUGGGGAAAAUAUUUGCAAACUAAUCAUCUAACAAGAAGUUAAUAUCCAGAAUAUAAAAGUGACUUAAGAAAUGUGGUGCAUAUAUUCACCAGUGUAUUAUUCAGGCAUGAAAAAGUAUUGACUUCUAUCAUAUAUGGUAGCAUAAAUGGAACUGGGAAGCAUUAUGACAAGUGAAAUAAGACAGGCUUGGAAAGACAUGAUCUUUCUCAUAUGUGAAAAAACAAGUUGAUUUCAUAGAGAUUAGAAGAGUAGUCACAAGAAGAUAGGAAGAUGAAAGAGAAUAAAAGGAAGUUAGAUAAUGGGUAUGAUAAUAUGUUACAAGCCAGGUACAGUGGUGCAUGCCUAUAAGCUCAGCAACUCAGGAAGAUGAUGCAAGAGGAUCUCAAGUUCCAGGCUAGCAAGAGCCUCAGCAACUUAACAAGCCAGACUCUAUCUCAAAAUAAAAUAUAAAAAGGAUUGGGGAUUCAUUGGUAGAACACUUCCAUGUUCAAUCCUCACUACCAAAAAAAAAAAAAAAAUUAAAAUUAAAAAUUAAAAGUUAUAACACAAAUGACAAAUGAUAAAGAAGAGAGAAAUGUUAAUUACCCUGAUUUGAUCAUUACACACUGUGUAUAGGAAUUAUUACUCUGUACCUCAAAAAUAUGCACAAUUAUUCAAAUUAGAAUUUCAUAGAAACAAACAAAAUCUUGUAUUGCUUUUUGUAUUUUUAUUGGUUAGUGUUAUACUAGCUAAUAUAGAAUACAAUGAACUGUAUCCUACUUCAUGAAGCUUCUAUCCAUUAAUUAAGAACACAAUGAGAAACUAAGUUCAAAUAUAUGUGACAUAAAUUUCACACUUAAAGGAUUCACUAUUUAAUAGGAAAAAUAGGCAUGCAAUUAUGGUAAAGAAUAAGAUAUUUAGAGACAUGUGUAAUUAAAUUGUG